rnacentral:rRNA from 1 species
UACAGAGGGUGCGAGCGUUGUCCGGAAUCACUGGGCGUAAAGGGCGCGUAGGUGGCCUGAUAAGUAGGGGGUGAAAUCUCGCGGCUCAACUGCGAGGCUGCCUCCUAAACUGUCGGGCUCGAGCAGAGUAGAGGCAGGUGGAAUUCCCGGUGUAGCGGUGGAAUGCGUAGGGAUCGGGAAGAACAUCGGUGGCGAAGGCGGCCUGCUGGGCUCUUGCUGACACUGAGGCGCGACAGCGUGGGGAGCAAACAGG